rnacentral:rRNA from 1 species
GAUCAUGGCUCAGGACGAACGCUGGCGGCGUGCUUAACACAUGCAAGUCGAACGAAGCAGCAGUGAAGGAGGCUUCGGCCAAUGGAUCUGUUGACUUAGUGGCGGACGGGUGAGUAACGCGUGAGCAACCUGCCUUUCAGAGGGGGAUAACGUUUGGAAACGAACGCUAAUACCGCAUAAAGUAUAUCCGCUGCAUGACGGAGAUACCAAAGGAGCAAUCCGCUGAGAGAUGGGCUCGCGUCCGAUUAGAUAGUUGGUGGGGUAACGGCCUACCAAGUCGACGAUCGGUAGCCGGACUGAGAGGUUGAACGGCCACAUUGGGACUGAGACACGGCCCAGACUCCUACGGGAGGCAGCAGUGGGGAAUAUUGCACAAUGGGCGCAAGCCCUGAUGCAGCAACGCCGCGUGAGGGAAGACGGUUUUCGGAUUGUAAACCUUUGUCCUUGGUGAAGAUAGUGACGGUAGCCGAGGAGGAAGCCACGGCUAACUACGUGCCAGCCGCGGC